UACGUAGGGGGGCAAGCGUUGUCCGGAUUUAUUGGGCGUAAAGAGCGUGUAGGCGGCCUUACAGGUCAGCUGUGAAAACUCGAGGCUCAACCUCGAGACGUCGGUCGAAACCUGUGAGCUAGAGUCCGGAAGAGGAGAGUGGAAUUCCUGGUGUAGCGGUGAAAUGCGCAGAUAUCAGGAAGAACACCCGUGGCGAAGGCGGCUCUCUGGGACGGUACUGACGCUGAGACGCGAAAGCGUGGGGAGCGAACAGG
rnacentral:rRNA from 1 species